UACGUAGGGACCGAGCGUUGUCCGGAAUCAUUGGGCGUAAAGAGCGUGUAGGCGGCCACUUAAGUCCUGCGUGAAAUCUCGGGGCUCAACCCCGAGCGGUCGUGAGAAACUGGCAGGCUAGAGUGCGGGAGAGGAGAGUGGAAUUCCUGGUGUAGCGGUGAAAUGCGCAGAUAUCAGGAAGAACACCCGUGGCGAAGGCGGCUCGCUGGAACGCAACUGACGCUGAGACGCGAAAGCGUGGGGAGCAAACAGG
rnacentral:rRNA from 1 species